CUGAAGUGAUCUGCCCACCUCGGCUUCCCAAAGUGCUGGGACUGCAGGUGUGAGCCACUGCGCCUGGCCCCUUCAGGUGGGUUUUGAGGCUUCACGUUGCUGCUGCAAUAAAUUACCACACACUUAGUGGCUUAAAACAGCACAGAGGUAUUCCCUUACAUUUCUGAAGGCCAGAAUUCUAAAAUCAGUCCCACUGAGUCAAGGUGGGAGCAGGGUCAGUGCCUUCCCAGGCUCUGCGGGAGAAUCUGUUUCCUGGCCCUGGAGGCGGCCUGUACUCCUUAGCUUGUGCUGCCCUUCUGGAAUGACUCGAGUUUCCUGCUUUCAUCACUACACCUCCCACCGCUCUCCAUCACCUGCUGUGCUCUUACGAGGAUCCAGCUGAGACAUGUUUUAGGAAGUUUGCUAAAAGACCCCUGGAGACGUCCUCAUUGUGGCCUCCCUGCUGUUGUGUUUAAUUUGGUUGAUCUUCUCUGCCCUCCUGCUUUUCAGAAUUAAAAGGCUAAAAAGAGUUUUCAGAGAAAUGGAAUAAUUGUAUUGCUGAUCUACGUAAACAAGUUGAAGAAUUGUCUGAAAGAAAAUAUGGUGUGUCUGAACUGGAAAAGUCCUGUGAUAGUUUGUUCAUGAGCAUUUACACAAUGGAGUUACUGUUCAUCAUGGGGGUACUGUGGACAAGCCCAGGGCUGCUGACAUAAUCUUAUGAAUUCAACACAUGAAGAUUUACAACUUGAUAAACCAGCUUCAGGAGAUCAGAACUUCUUACAAUACAACUGAUGUUACUCAGCCUAGAACAAAUACAACAGGGAUUGUGCUGCAUUCUGACUUAGGUUCUGCCAUCGAACACAGAAUGCCCUGAUCCUUAGAGGCAGAGGCAGCUCUUCAGCCUAUGGGAAAACUGUGGAUUUAGUUACUCCACUCUGCCAUGUCCUUCCACCACUGCCUGCACAUUUGAGACCAAGGAUAGAGAUUGGGAAAAAUCCAUAGUUCUCCUGACUCAGAGUUUGGCUCCGGCACUCUCAUUUCAGCCAUAGCUGCAGACAAAGCACACGACUGCUGGGCACUGUGGCUCAAGAGAAGGGGGAGAUGCAGGAAGAAGAUGAGCCUUAAGUCUGAACACUGAGGAAUUCAUGUGCAUCAGUCAGACCUCCUGUGCAAGGAAGGAUGUGGUUACUACGGCAACCCUGCCUGGCAGGGUUUCUGCUCCAAGUGCUGGAGGGAAGAGUACCACAAAGCCAGGCAGAAGGAGAUUCAGGAGGACUGGGAGCUGGCGGAGCGACUCCAGUGGGAGGAAGAGGCCUUUGCCAGCAGUCAGAGCAGCCAAGGGGCCCAAUCCCUCACAUUCUCCAAGUUUGAAGGAAAGAAAACCAACGAGAAGACCCACGAGGUUACCACAGUGAAGAAAUCUUCAGUGCGUCUUCCAGGGUCGGAUCAAAGAAGGCAGAAAUUCAGGAAGCAAAAGCCAGUCCUUCCAUAAACCGGCGAACCAGCAUUGAAACGGAUAGAGUGUCUAAGGAGUUCAUAGAAUUUCUCAAGACCUUCCACAAGACAGGCCAAGAAAUCUAUAAACAGACCAAGCUGUUUUUGGAAGGGAUGCAUUACAAAAGGUGCCUCCAGAAAGGGUUGAGAAGAUAAUGGAUCAGAUUGAAAAGUACAUCAUGACUCAUCUCUGUAAAUAUGCGUUCUGUCCAGAACCCCAGUGAGCCUGGAAGACUGGGUGCUAUGGGAAAUGUCAUCAAUCCAAUGCUAGUGAAAGAUGUGACUGGGGAAUGCUGAAAAAUGCGCACCCCUGGGAGGAAUGAGGAAAGAUGACAUCCACUGACUUGUUAUUUUUUUGAGAAGGAGUCUUGCUCUGUUGCCCAGGCUGGAGUGUGGUGGCACGAUCUCGGCUCACUGAUGAUGAGAAGAAAGAUCUUGCCAUUCAAAAGAGGAUCAGAGUGGAAGCUUCUCUGUGGUGUCAGAAAGACGAGGAAUGUGGUGACCUCACCUAUCCAUCUCCCUCAAGGCAGCUUUUGUUUUUCUGCAGUGACCGUACUUGCAAUAAUUAAACAUAGUUGGUCAUUUAAAAUACAUCUCUGAUACUCUCGUCAAAGGUGGAGCCCAGUCCCUAUCGCCUUGAGUGAGGGCUGGGUUACGUGAUUCCCUUCUGACAGAUAGGAAAAAGCAAAAGUGAUGGCUUGCAACUUUGCAAACUACAUCAUAAAAGGUACUGUGGCUUCCUCCUUGCUCACUCUUUGAUUACUCACUUGGGAAAGCCAGCUGUCACACCAUGACACCUAAGCAGCCUGUAGAGAGGCUCAUGUAACAGGAACUGAGGCCUCCUGUCAGCAGUCACAUGAGGGAGCCAUCUUGGAAACAGGCUUUAGGUGACUGCAGUCUCAGUGGACAGCUUGAGUGCAAUGUCAUGAGACACCCUGAGCCCAAAUGACCCAGCUAUGCCACUCCUGAAUUCCUGACCCACAGAAAUGGAGAUCCUAACUUAAGUUCUUGGACUCACUGAGGCAGUAAAAGAACCAUAUCCUGUGUUUGAAUCAAAUCCCAAGUUCCUGUACGUAGAAGGUUUGCCAGACAGGAUUCCCUUUCGAAGCCCUCCUGGUUUGGAAUUCCAUGACUUGAAAGGAUCGUCCAUGGGAGUAAUAAAAUCAAAUUUGUUGGUAAAAAACCUGAACUGGUUAUUUCCUACUUGCCUCCUGGAGUUGCUAAUAAAAUAAACACUAAAGCUUCGCAGUUUCUAAAAAGACCAUGAAGCCCUGAGAGUAAUGAAAAGGUUCCUGAAAUUGAGGUCACUGUGGAAGGAGAAUCUAAUGCCUGAUGAUCUGUCACUAUCUCCCAUCACCCCCAGAUGGGACCAUCUAGUUGCAGGAAAAGAAGGUCAAGACUCCCAGUCAUUCUACAUUAUGCCUCAGCCAAGAUGUCUCACCCCACUCUCUCUGAUGCAACAAGAAGCCCCUGGAGAACGUUUCAGUCCCAUUUUGUACUUCUGUCAUGUGCUCAUCACAGUCUGGUGGAAUUUAAAUGACCUCUUAUCAAGAUGGAUAAACCCAAGUUUCCCAGUGCUGGAAUAUAGAAAAUGGAUGGACAAGUAAGUCCCACUCAGCACCCAUAGCCCAGACAUGGGGACCUCAACACACCUGGGCCCCAGACAUCACCUUUCAUUGGUCUUGCUCUGUUGUCCAGGCUGGAAUGUGGUAGU
rnacentral:lncRNA from 1 species